GGUUUGAAGCGUAACAUUAUGGGUGGAUUCAAUGAACUAAAGAAUGCAGUCGGAGGGGAGAAAAUUCAGCAUCCGAGAGUGUUGAGUUGCAUUUCAGUGCAUUCCUGGACCUUGAAUCUGAUCGUACAAGGCUGCAAUUGAACCAUGCAAAUAUUUAAUCAGUCCCAGAACUGUCAGAGAAAAGAAUUUACAGGCGAGGUUCUUAUUUUAUUGCCUACAUUGAUUUAAUAGCAGUCAGGAAACCAAGAGGAAUACAAUAAUCCAGUGUCCUUUAGACUGGUGCAAUUUGGAAUUCUCGUUGCAUCAAUAAAAUACUGGUCUGCAGGUGAGGAAAUCA